GNGAACCUGCGGAAGGAUCAUUG
rnacentral:rRNA from 1 species